rnacentral:rRNA from 1 species
GAUGAACGCUGGCGGCGUGCCUAAUACAUGCAAGUCGAGCGAACGGACGAGAAGCUUGCUUCUCUGAUGUUAGCGGCGGACGGGUGAGUAACACGUGGAUAACCUACCUAUAAGACUGGGAUAACUUCGGGAAACCGGAGCUAAUACCGGAUAAUAUUUUGAACCGCAUGGUUCAAAAGUGAAAGACGGUCUUGCUGUCACUUAUAGAUGGAUCCGCGCUGCAUUAGCUAGUUGGUAAGGUAACGGCUUACCAAGGCAACGAUGCAUAGCCGACCUGAGAGGGUGAUCGGCCACACUGGAACUGAGACACGGUCCAGACUCCUACGGGAGGCAGCAGUAGGGAAUCUUCCGCAAUGGGCGGAAGCCUGACGGAGCAACGCCGCGUGAGUGAUGAAGGUCUUCGGAUCGUAAAACUCUGUUAUUAGGGAAGGACAUAUGUGUAAGUAACUGUGCACAUCUUGACGGUACCUAAUCAGAAAGCCACGGCUAACUACGUGCCAGCAGCCGCGGUAAUACGUAGGUGGCAAGCGUUAUCCGGAAUUAUUGGGCGUAAAGCGCGCGUAGGCGGUUUUUUAAGUCUGAUGUGAAAGCCCACGGCUCAACCGUGGAGGGUCAUUGGAAACUGGAAAACUUGAGUGCAGAAGAGGAAAGUGGAAUUCCAUGUGUAGCGGUGAAAUGCGCAGAGAUAUGGAGGAACACCAGUGGCGAAGGCGACUUUCUGGUCUGUAACUGACGCUGAUGUGCGAAAGCGUGGGGAUCAAACAGGAUUAGAUACCCUGGUAGUCCACGCCGUAAACGAUGAGUGCUAAGUGUUAGGGGGUUUCCGCCCCUUAGUGCUGCAGCUAACGCAUUAAGCACUCCGCCUGGGGAGUACGACCGCAAGGUUGAAACUCAAAGGAAUUGACGGGGACCCGCACAAGCGGUGGAGCAUGUGGUUUAAUUCGAAGCAACGCGAAGAACCUUACCAAAUCUUGACAUCCUUUGACAACUCUAGAGAUAGAGCCUUCUCCUUCGGGGGACAAAGUGACAGGUGGUGCAUGGUUGUCGUCAGCUCGUGUCGUGAGAUGUUGGGUUAGGUCCCGCAACGAGCGCAACCCUUAAGCUUAGUUGCCAUCAUUAAGUUGGGCACUCUAAGUUGACUGCCGGUGACAAACCGGAGGAAGGUGGGGAUGACGUCAAAUCAUCAUGCCCCUUAUGAUUUGGGCUACACACGUGCUACAAUGGACAAUACAAAGGGCAGCGAAACCGCGAGGUCAAGCAAAUCCCAUAAAGUUGUUCUCAGUUCGGAUUGUAGUCUGCAACUCGACUACAUGAAGCUGGAAUCGCUAGUAAUCGUAGAUCAGCAUGCUACGGUGAAUACGUUCCCGGGUCU